CUUCCGGAGCUAACGCGUUAAGUAGACCGCCUGGGGAGUACGGCCGCAAGGUUAAAACUCAAAUGAAUUGACGGGGGCCCGCACAAGCGGUGGAGCAUGUGGUUUAAUUCGAUGCAACGCGAAGAACCUUACCUGGUCUUGACAUCCACAGAACUUUCCAGAGAUGGAUUGGUGCCUUCGGGAACUGUGAGACAGGUGCUGCAUGGCUGUCGUCAGCUCGUGUUGUGAAAUGUUGGGUUAAGUCCCGCAACGAGCGCAACCCUUAUCCUUUGUUGCCAGCGAUUAGGUCGGGAACUCAAAGGAGACUGCCAGUGAUAAACUGGAGGAAGGUGGGGAUGACGUCAAGUCAUCAUGGCCCUUACGACCAGGGCUACACACGUGCUACAAUGGCGCAUACAAAGAGAAGCGACCUCGCGAGAGCAAGCGGACCUCAUAAAGUGCGUCGUAGUCCGGAUUGGAGUCUGCAACUCGACUCCAUGAAGUCGGAAUCGCUAGUAAUCGUGGAUCAGAAUGCCACGGUGAAUACGUUCCCGGGCCUUGUACACACCGCCCGUCACACCAUGGGAGUGGGUUGCAAAAGAAGUAGGUAGCUUAACCUUCGGGAGGGCGCUUACCACUUUGUGAUUCAUGACUGGGGUGAAGUCGUAACAAGGUAACCGUAGGGGAACCUGCGGUUGGAUCACCUCCUUA
rnacentral:rRNA from 1 species